CGCAUCUGUGCAUGCAGUAUAUCAAUAAGCGGAGGAAAAGAAACUAACAAGGAUUCCCUUAGUAACGGCGAGUGAAGCGGGAAGAGCUCAAAUUUGAAAUCUUCAAGGUUUUACCUUGACGAAUUGUAGUUUAAAGAAGUGUUUUCUGUUGAAGUUUUGGUAAAAGUUCUUUGGAAUAGGACAUCAUAGAGGGUGAGAAUCCCGUAUUUGACCAUUAUUUUCAGCUGUGUGAUACACUUUCAAAGAGUCGGAUUGUUUGGGAAUGCAGUCCAAAAUGGGUGGUAAAUUUCAUCUAAAGCUAAAUAUUGGCGAGAGACCGAUAGCGAACAAGUACCGUGAGGGAAAGAUGAAAAGAACUUUGAAAAGAGAGUUAAACAGUACGUGAAAUUGUCAAAAGGGAAGCGUUUGACACCAGUGUUGUUUUCUCGAAAAUCAAUUAAAAAGAGUUAGAUUUUGUUGUGUAUUGACCUUAACAGCUUGCAUUUCAAUUUUCUUGCUUUUUUUAAUGCACUUUUCGUUUAACAAGUCAACAUCAGUUUCUUUUGUUGUAAAAAGGUCAUUGGAAGGUGGCUUUCCUUUCGGAGAAAGUGUUUAUAGCCUUUGACUCCUGCAAUCGGAGAGACUGAGGUCUGCAGCGUAGAUCCUUCGGGGUUAGAUACAUUUGUGCUAAGCUACUAGCUUUUUCAUAGACAACUUGUUGACUAUGAUUUAGUCUUGUAGCUUACCCGCUUAUGCUAUUUUACCUACGCUUAGGAUGUUGACGCGCGUGUGUGCGUG
rnacentral:rRNA from 1 species